rnacentral:lncRNA from 1 species
AUGUCAUCUCAUUUUUGGAGAUGGACAUGGACAGGGGCUGAAACUGCAGUACCAGCAGAUGGGGAGCUUAAGAAGGAAGCUAGUUCAUGGCACAGCACCCGUAAAGUCCCCAGAAUUGGAGGCACCAGAUUCUUCUGAAAGAAAAGGAGCAAUUCAGCACUUGUCAUGCAGAUAAGAGGUCAACACCCCAGGACGGAGUGAAAACCUAAGAUGGACUCAACGACUCUCUUACCGUCCAGCUCUCAAGUCCCUUCUCUUGUGAAAAUGGAAAAGUUGAACUACAGUUGAGAUAUUAUUCCCAGGUGUUCUUUGGAACACAGGGGAUUUCUCCAAAAGGCACAGAACAAAUUGCCUCCAAACAGCCAAGAUUCCAGCAGAAGCUGGAGUAGCAGACUACUUGGAUCUUCAAAGUACCUGGCCCUGAGUCAGUUAAGGAAGAUCUUUUCUUCUCUUUUGUACAAUCCUAUGAUGAGAGCUGCAAAGUGAACUGACUAAGAGCUUCUGCCUUGAUCAUUGACCUCCCAAUCCUAAUAAUAUGUUCACUGGCCAAACUUCCUAAUCGAUUUGUCUUUUGGAUAUAACGUUCCUCCUACUGUUUGCCUGAUUGAGAAAUCUGCUACAGAACAUGACCGGUUAGCAUUCCCACCAACCCCAGUGCUACACUGACUGUCUUUCGAUGGACUUUGCUCCUUGCUGCCUCUCUGAGGUCCCAGACCUUCAGAGUGACCUUCACAGCUCUGCCUAACUUUCUGUCAUACUUCUAUCAAGAGAGACAGCUAAAUCAAUAUUUUUAAUGUGCUUUGCUGUCGGAAUUCGAUGAUCUGUCACAGUUCUUGCCCAAUACACCCCAUCAUUAUUGUUAAAAUGUUUUUAGCUUUGUUUGUAGAAUUGCUUUAACUGGUUUCAUCUCUGGGAGCUACACUUUGAAAUAUAACUUUAGCAACAUUUUACUAUACUUUUUCACAACCCAGAGCAGUACUAUUUUAUGCUUAGUGGUUAAACUAAUUCCAUAAAUCUUUUGCAACUAUCCUCUAUUCUUUUUCUUGUAAUUUUUACCUGGGAAGGUUUUUACUGAUAAUCAUCCUAUCCUGAGUCAUCCCACAAACCAAUCUGUCUCACUAAUCAUUGCUUCUAACCUACAGACUAAGCAUAACUUCUGCUAAAUGAUCUUUGAUAAGAUGCUAUGACUCUAUAAAGUCUUUGAUAUUCAUGUCUAAAUUUAAUCACUUGUAGAUUUUCAUAGAAUCAAUCUUUCACUUCUACAAUUGGGAGUAUUUAUAAGUUGUUUAUCUUAAACAGUUCCUCUAUCACGCUUUUCACGUUAAAUAAAGCAAUCCCUUCAAAUCAA